GCUGGCUUAAUAGAGGAGAUGCUUGAAGAUACUUUCAGUGGAAUGGAAGAUCAAGAUGAACUGGAAGAUGAAGCUCAAGAAGAAGUUGAAAAAAUUCUUUUUGAAGUCACAAAAGGUGUGUUAGGCCAGGCUGGACCUGUUGCCACUGGCAGUUUGAAGGUUGCAGGUCCAAGUGUUGAAUCUGAUGAUACGGAAGAGCUUAAGGAUAUGCAAGCCAGAUUAGAAUCGUUACGAAGUUGAUGUUAUGAGUAGAUUCCUUUGUAAAUCCUUGUUUUAUAUAUAAGUAAAUAAAUCCUUGUUUUAUAUAUAAG
rnacentral:lncRNA from 1 species